UACGAAGGGUGCAAGCGUUACUCGGAAUUACUGGGCGUAAAGCGUGCGUAGGUGGUUUGUUAAGUCUGUUGUGAAAGCCCCGGGCUCAACCUGGGAAUGGCAAUGGAUACUGGCAAGCUAGAGUGCGGUAGAGGAGAGUGGAAUUCCCGGUGUAGCAGUGAAAUGCGUAGAGAUCGGGAGGAACAUCAGUUGCGAAGGCGGCUCUCUGGACCAGCACUGACACUGAGGCACGAAAGCGUGGGGAGCAAACAGG
rnacentral:rRNA from 1 species